AGAAACAUGUCUGACAAAAGAGUUACUUUGAUAGAGUAAAGAAUAGGAGUUUCAUGCCUCCUUGUUUCUA
rnacentral:tRNA from 1 species